CCUANGGGGGGCAGCAGUGAGGAAUAUUGGUCAAUGGACGGAAGUCUGAACCAGCCAUCCCGCGUGCAGGAAGACGGCGCUAUGCGUUGUAAACUGCUUUUCCAGGGGAAGAAAACCCUCGACGAGUCGAGGCUUGCCGGUACCUUGGGAAUAAGCAUCGGCUAACUCCGUGCCAGCAGCCGCGGUAAUACGGAGGAUGCGAGCGUUAUCCGGAUUCAUUGGGUUUAAAGGGUGCGUAGGCGGACUGAUAAGUCAGUGGUGAAAACCUGCAGCUUAACUGUAGAACUGCCAUUGAUACUGUCAGCCUUGAGUGUGGUCAAGGUAGGCGGAAUGUGUAAUGUAGCGGUGAAAUGCUUAGAUAUUACACAGAACACCGAUUGCGAAGGCAGCUUGCUGGACCAUUACUGACGCUGAUGCACGAAAGCGUGGGGAGCGAACAGGAUUAGAUACCCGUNUANUC
rnacentral:rRNA from 1 species